rnacentral:rRNA from 1 species
AUUGAACGCUGGCGGCAGGCCUAACACAUGCAAGUCGAGCGGAUGAAGGGAGCUUGCCUCGGGAUUCCGCGGCGCGCGGGUGUGUAAUGCCUAGGAAUCUCCCUGGUAGGGGGGUAUAAUGUCGGGACACGGGCGCUUAUACCACACGCGCCCUGGGGGAGAAAGUGGGGGAUCCUGGGACCUCACGCUCUCAUGUGAGCAUAGGUCGGAUUAGCUAGUUGGUGGGGUAAAGGCCUACCAAGGCGACGAUCCGUAACUGGUCUGAGAGGAUGAUCAGUCACACUGGAACUGAGACACGGUCCAGACUCCUACGGGAGGCAGCAGUGGGGAAUAUUGGACAAUGGGCGAAAGCCUGAUCCAGCCAUGCCGCGUGUGUGAAGAAGGUCUUCGGAUUGUAAAGCACUUUAAGUUGGGAGGAAGGGCAGUAAGUUAAUACCUUGCUGUUUUGACGUUACCAACAGAAUAAGCACCGGCUAACUUCGUG